AGAGUUUGAUCAUGGCUCAGAUUGAACGCUGGCGGCAGGCCUAACACAUGCAAGUCGAGCGGUAGCACAGAGAGCUUGCUCUCGGGUGACGAGCGGCGGACGGGUGAGUAAUGUCUGGGAAACUGCCUGAUGGAGGGGGAUAACUACUGGAAACGGUAGCUAAUACCGCAUAACGUCGCAAGACCAAAGUGGGGGACCUUCGGGCCUCAUGCCAUCAGAUGUGCCCAGAUGGGAUUAGCUAGUAGGUGGGGUAACGGCUCACCUAGGCGACGAUCCCUAGCUGGUCUGAGAGGAUGACCAGCCACACUGGAACUGAGACACGGUCCAGACUCCUACGGGAGGCAGCAGUGGGGAAUAUUGCACAAUGGGCGCAAGCCUGAUGCAGCCAUGCCGCGUGUGUGAAGAAGGCCUUCGGGUUGUAAAGCACUUUCAGCGGGGAGGAAGGCGUUAAGGUUAAUAACCUUAGCGAUUGACGUUACCCGCAGAAGAAGCACCGGCUAACUCCGUGCCAGCAGCCGCGGUAAUACGGAGGGUGCAAGCGUUAAUCGGAAUUACUGGGCGUAAAGCGCACGCAGGCGGUCUGUCAAGUCGGAUGUGAAAUCCCCGGGCUCAACCUGGGAACUGCAUUCGAAACUGGCAGGCUAGAGUCUUGUAGAGGGGGGUAGAAUUCCAGGUGUAGCGGUGAAAUGCGUAGAGAUCUGGAGGAAUACCGGUGGCGAAGGCGGCCCCCUGGACAAAGACUGACGCUCAGGUGCGAAAGCGUGGGGAGCAAACAGGAUUAGAUACCCUGGUAGUCCACGCCGUAAACGAUGUCGAUUUGGAGGUUGUGCCCUUGAGGCGUGGCUUCCGGAGCUAACGCGUUAAAUCGACCGCCUGGGGAGUACGGCCGCAAGGUUAAAACUCAAAUGAAUUGACGGGGGCCCGCACAAGCGGUGGAGCAUGUGGUUUAAUUCGAUGCAACGCGAAGAACCUUACCUGGUCUUGACAUCCACAGAACUUUCCAGAGAUGGAUUGGUGCCUUCGGGAACUGUGAGACAGGUGCUGCAUGGCUGUCGUCAGCUCGUGUUGUGAAAUGUUGGGUUAAGUCCCGCAACGAGCGCAACCCUUAUCCUUUGUUGCCAGCGGUUCGGCCGGGAACUCAAAGGAGACUGCCAGUGAUAAACUGGAGGAAGGUGGGGAUGACGUCAAGUCAUCAUGGCCCUUACGACCAGGGCUACACACGUGCUACAAUGGCAUAUACAAAGAGAAGCGACCUCGCGAGAGCAAGCGGACCUCAUAAAGUAUGUCGUAGUCCGGAUUGGAGUCUGCAACUCGACUCCAUGAAGUCGGAAUCGCUAGUAAUCGUAGAUCAGAAUGCUACGGUGAAUACGUUCCCGGGCCUUGUACACACCGCCCGUCACACCAUGGGAGUGGGUUGCAAAAGAAGUAGGUAGCUUAACCUUCGGGAGGGCGCUUACCACUUUGUGAUUCAUGACUGGGGUGAAGUCGUAACAAGGUAACCGUAGGGGAACCUGCGGUUG
rnacentral:rRNA from 1 species